GCUUAACCGGAGAAGUGCAUCGGAAACUGGGUAACUUGAGUGCAGAAGAGGACAGUGGAACUCCAUGUGUAGCGGUGGAAUGCGUAGAUAUAUGGAAGAACACCAGUGGCGAAGGCGGCUACCUGGUCUGCAACUGACGCUGAGACUCGAAAGCAUGGGUAGCGAACAGGAUUAGAUACCCUGGUAGUCCAUGCCGUAAACGAUGAGUGCUAGGUGUUGGAGGGUUUCCGCCCUUCAGUGCCGGAGCUAACGCAUUAAGCACUCCGCCUGGGGAGUACGACCGCAAGGUUGAAACUCAAAGGAAUUGACGGGGGCCCGCACAAGCGGUGGAGCAUGUGGUUUAAUUCGAAGCUACGCGAAGAACCUUACCAGGUCUUGACAUCUUGCGCCAACCCUAGAGAUAGGGCGUUUCCUUCGGGAACGCAAUGACAGGUGGUGCAUGGUCGUCGUCAGCUCGUGUCGUGAGAUGUUGGGUUAAGUCCCGCAACGAGCGCAACCCUUGUUACUAGUUGCCAGCAUUAAGUUGGGCACUCUAGUGAGACUGCCGGUGACAAACCGGAGGAAGGUGGGGACGACGUCAGAUCAUCAUGCCCCUUAUGACCUGGGGCUACACACGUGCUACAAUGGACGGUACAACG
rnacentral:rRNA from 1 species